rnacentral:rRNA from 1 species
GCGGAUGACAGGAGCUUGCUCCUGAAUUCAGCGGCGGACGGGUGAGUAAUGCCUAGGAAUCUGCCUGGUAGUGGGGGACAACGUCUCGAAAGGGACGCUAAUACCGCAUACGUCCUACGGGAGAAAGCAGGGGACCUUCGGGCCUUGCGCUAUCAGAUGAGCCUAGGUCGGAUUAGCUAGUUGGUGAGGUAAUGGCUCACCAAGGCGACGAUCCGUAACUGGUCUGAGAGGAUGAUCAGUCACACUGGAACUGAGACACGGUCCAGACUCCUACGGGAGGCAGCAGUGGGGAAUAUUGGACAAUGGGCGAAAGCCUGAUCCAGCCAUGCCGCGUGUGUGAAGAAGGUCUUCGGAUUGUAAAGCACUUUAAGUUGGGAGGAAGGGCAUUAACCUAAUACGUUAGUGUUUUGACGUUACCGACAGAAUAAGCACCGGCUAACUCUGUGCCAGCAGCCGCGGUAAUACAGAGGGUGCAAGCGUUAAUCGGAAUUACUGGGCGUAAAGCGCGCGUAGGUGGUUUGUUAAGUUGGAUGUGAAAGCCCCGGGCUCAACCUGGGAACUGCAUUCAAAACUGACAAGCUAAAGUAUGGGUAGAGGGUGGUGGAAUUUCCUGUG